rnacentral:rRNA from 1 species
GAUCCUGGCUCAGGAUGAACGCUGGCGGCGUGCCUAACACAUGCAAGUCGAACGAAGCACUUUGAUUUGAUUCUUCGGAUGAAGAUCAUUGUGACUGAGUGGCGGACGGGUGAGUAACGCGUGGGUAACCUGCCUCAUACAGGGGAAUAACAGUUAGAAAUGACUGCUAAUACCGCAUAAGACCACGGAGUCGCAUGACUCAGUGGGAAAAACUCCGGUGGU